rnacentral:rRNA from 1 species
GAUGAACGCUGGCGGCGUGCCUAAUACAUGCAAGUCGAGCGAACGGACGAGAAGCUUGCUUUUCUGAUGUUAGCGGCGGACGGGUGAGUAACACGUGGAUAACCUACCUAUAAGACUGGGAUAACUUCGGGAAACCGGAGCUAAUACCGGAUAAUAUUUUGAACCGCAUGGUUCAAAAGUGAAAGACGGUCUUGCUGUCACUUAUAGAUGGAUCCGCGCUGCAUUAGCUAGUUGGCAAGGUAACGGCUUACCAAGGCAACGAUGCAUAGCCGACCUGAGAGGGUGAUCGGCCACACUGGAACUGAGACACGGUCCAGACUCCUACGGGAGGCAGCAGUAGGGACUCUUCCGCAAUGGGCGAAAGCCUGACGGAGCAACGCCGCGUGAGUGAUGAAGGUCUUCGGAUCGUAAAACUCUGUUAUUAGUGAAGAACAUAUGUGUAAGUAACUGUGCACAUCUUGACGGUACCUAAUCAGAAAGCCACGGCUAACUACGUG